rnacentral:rRNA from 1 species
AUCGAUGAAGAACGCAGCGAAAUGCGAUAAGUAAUGUGAAUUGCAGAAUUCAGUGAAUCAUCGAAUCUUUGAACGCACAUUGCGCCCUUUGGUAUUCCUUAGGGCAUGCCUGUUCGAGCGUCACUAAAAACCGACUCACAUAUCGUGUGGUAUUGGUAGAAGUGGAUAGUACUAACACUACUUUGUCUUACUCUGCUGAAAUGAAUAGGCCAGAAAAGUGGACCAUGGUAAUAGAUUCCAGGAGUGUUUUAAAAUGCUAUACUAGUCUUAUCCAAGUCAUAUUCUGAGCCACUGGACCCCCCAUUUAGUCCAAACAACAGUGGUUGACCUCGGAUCAGGUAGGGAUACCCGCUGAACUUAAGCAUAUCAAUAAGCGGAGGAAAAGAAACCAACAGGGAUUGCCUUAGUAACGGCGAGUGAAGCGGCAAAAGCUCAAAUUUGAAAUCUGGUGCCUCUGGUGCCCGAGUUGUACUUUGGAGAGGCAUCUUCUGGAGGGACCCAGCCUAUGUGCCUUGGAACAGGACGUCAUAGAGGGUGAGAAUCCCGUCCUUGGCUGGAUGUUCCCUCCUGUAUGUAGUGUCUUCAACGAGUCGAGUUGUUUGGGAAUGCAGCUCAAAAUGGGUGGUAAAUUUCAUCUAAAGCUAAAUAUUGGCGAGAGACCGAUAGCGCACAAGUAGAGUGAUCGAAAGAUGAAAAGCACUUUGAAAAUAGAGUCAAACAGUACGUGAAAUUGUUGAAAGGGAAGCGCUUGAGACCAGAGUCAGCCUUUGGCAAACAACUGUCCUUCUGGGUGGUGCACUUGUCAUUGGUUGGGCCAGCAUCGGUUGGGACGGCAGGAUAAAGGCCCAGGGAAUGUGACUCCUUUAUGGAGUGUUAUAGCCCCAGGUGGCAUGCUGUCAGCCCCGACCGUGGACCGCGCCUCGGCUCGGAUGCUGGCUUAAUGGUCUUCAGCGACCCGUCUUGAAACACGG